CCUACGGGUGGCAGCAGUGGGGAAUAUUGCACAAUGGGGGAAACCCUGAUCCAGCGACGCCGCGUGAGUGAAGAAGUAAUUCGGUAUGUAAAGCUCUAUCAGCAGGGAAGAAAAUGACGGUACCUGAGUAAGAAGCCCCGGCUAACUAGGUGCCAGCAGCCGCGGUAAUACGUAGGGGGCACGCGUUAUCCGGAUUUACUGGGUGUAAGGGGAGCGUAGACGGCAGUGCAAGGAUGGAGUGAAAGGCGGGGGCUCAACCCGCGGACUGCCCUGGAAACUGUACGGCUGGAGUGCAGGAGAGGUAAGUGGAAUGCCUGGUGUAGCGGUGAAAUGCGUAGAUAUUAGGAGGAACACCAGUGGCGAAGGCGGCUUACUGGACUGUAACUGACGUUGAGGCUCGAAAGCGUGGGGAGCAAACAGGAUUAGAUACCCGAGUAGUC
rnacentral:rRNA from 1 species